rnacentral:tRNA from 1 species
UAUUUCUUUAGUAUACUAACAGUACAAGUGCCUUCCAAGCACUAAGUCCCCCCCGGGAAGAAAUA